AACUCAAAUGAAUUGACGGGGGCCCGCACAAGCGGUGGAGCAUGUGGUUUAAUUCGAUGCAACGCGAAGAACCUUACCUGGUCUUGACAUCCACAGAACUUUCCAGAGAUGGAUUGGUGCCUUCGGGAACUGUGAGACAGGUGCUGCAUGGCUGUCGUCAGCUCGUGUUGUGAAAUGUUGGGUUAAGUCCCGCAACGAGCGCAACCCUUAUCCUUUGUUGCCAGCGGUCCGGCCGGGAACUCAAAGGAGACUGCCAGUGAUAAACUGGAGGAAGGUGGGGAUGACGUCAAGUCAUCAUGGCCCUUACGACCAGGGCUACACACGUGCUACAAUGGCGCAUACAAAGAGAAGCGACCUCGCGAGAGCAAGCGGACCUCAUAAAGUGCGUCGUAGUCCGGAUUGGAGUCUGCAACUCGACUCCAUGAAGUCGGAAUCGCUAGUAAUCGUGGAUCAGAAUGCCACGGUGAAUACGUUCCCGGGCCUUGUACUCACCGCCCGUC
rnacentral:rRNA from 1 species